UACGGAGGAUCCGAGCGUUAUCCGGAUUUAUUGGGUUUAAAGGGUGCGUAGGCGGGAUUUUAAGUCAGGAGUGAAAGACGGCAGCUUAACUGUCGCAGUGCUUUUGAUACUGAAGUCCUUGAAUACCAUUGAAGAUGGCGGAAUGAGACAAGUAGCGGUGAAAAUGCAUAGAUAUGUCUCAGAACUCCGAUUGCGAAGGCAGCUAUCUAAGCGGUGAUUGACGCUGAUGCACGAAAGCGUGGGGAUCAAACAGG
rnacentral:rRNA from 1 species